GGGUCAUUAGGUUGGUCGUGCCACCGGUACGUACUGGUCUAACUGAUUCCUCCUUCCUGAAGAACCGUAAUGCCAUUAAUUUGGUGUUGCGGGGAAACAGGACUGUUACUUUGAAAAAAUUAGAGUGUUUAAAGCAAGCUAACGCUUGAAUUCAUUAGCAUGGAAUAAUGAAAUAGGACGAUCGAUCCUAUUUUGUUGGUUUCUAGGAUUGACGUA
rnacentral:rRNA from 1 species